rnacentral:rRNA from 1 species
UACGGGAAAUUUAUUUUCCUAGUGGCGGACGGGUGCGUAACACGUAAGAACCUACCUUUUGGAGGGGGAUAACAUCGGGAAACUGAUGCUAAUACCCCGUAAUAGCUGAGGAGUGAAAGCGAUUUUCCGCGCCAAGAGAGGGGCUUGCGGCUGAUUAGCUAGUUGGUGGGGGUAACGGCCUCCCAAGGCCACGAUCAGUAGCUGGUUUGAGAGGACGAUCAGCCACACUGGGACUGAGACACGGCCCAGACUCCUACGGGAGGCAGCAGUGAGGAAUUUUCCACAAUGGGCGAAAGCCUGAUGGAGCAAUACCGCGUGGAGGAAGAAGGUUCGUGGAUCGUAAACUCCUUUUCUCAGAGAAGAAGAUCUGACGGUAUCUGAGGAAUAAGCUCCGGCUAACUUUGUGCCAGCAGCCGCGGUAAUACAAGGGGAGCAAGCGUUAUCCGGAAUGAUUGGGCGUAAAGCGUCUGUAGGUGGUUCUUUAAGUCUACUGUCAAAUACGUUGGCUCAACCAACGGCAGGCAGUAGAGUACUAAAGAACUAGAGUGCGGUAGAGGUAGAGGGAAUCCCUAGCGUAACAGUGAAAUGUGUAGAUUUUAGGGGGAACACCAGCGGCGAAGGCGCUCUACUGGGCCGAUACUGACACUGAGAGACGAAAGCUAGAGGAGCGAAUAGGAUUAGAUACCCUAGUAGUUCUAGCUGUAAACGAUGGAAACUAAGAGGGGGUAACCCCCUUCUGUAGCUAACGCG